UGGGGAAUAUUGCACAAUGGGCGCAAGCCUGAUGCAGCCAUGCCGCGUGUAUGAAGAAGGCCUUCGGGUUGUAAAGUACUUUCAGCGGGGAGGAAGGCGAUAAGGUUAAUAACCUUGUCGAUUGACGUUACCCGCAGAAGAAGCACCGGCUAACUCCGUGCCAGCAGCCGCGGUAAUACGGAGGGUGCAAGCGUUAAUCGGAAUUACUGGGCGUAAAGCGAACGCAGGCGGUCUGUCAAGUCGGAUGUGAAAUCCCCGGGCUCAACCUGGGAACUGCAUUGGAAACUGGCAGGCUAGAGUCUUGUAGAGGGGGGUAGAAUUCCAGGUGUAGCGGUGAAAUGCGUAGAGAUCUGGAGGAAUACCGGUGGCGAAGGCGGCCCCCUGGACAAAGACUGACGCUCAGGUGCGAAAGCGUGGGGAGCAAACA
rnacentral:rRNA from 1 species